UUCGAACGCACCUUGCGGCCCCGGGUUCCUCCCGGGGCUACGCCUGUCUGAGAGUCGC
rnacentral:rRNA from 1 species